GUGUCAGCCGCCGCGGUAAUACGGGGGGGGCAAGCGUUGUUCGGAAUUACUGGGCGUAAAGGGUUUGUAGGUGGCUUGCUAAGUCAGACGUGAAAUCCCUCAGCUUAACUGAGGAACUGCGUCUGAGACUGGCAAGCUUGAGUGCAGGAGAGGAACGCGGAAUUCCAGGUGUAGCGGUGAAAUGCGUAGAUAUCUGGAGGAACACCGGUGGCGAAGGCGGCGUUCUGGACUGUAACUGACACUGAUGAACGAAAGCCAGGGGAGCAAACGGGAUUAGAUACCCCCGUAGUCC
rnacentral:rRNA from 1 species